AAUUCUCAACUCCUGAUUUUUUUAAAUAAAAAUUGGUGAGCUUGGAUUUGGAGGCUUGUGUCGGCUUUUUAUUGUUAAGAGUCGCCUCCUCUGAAAUGGAUUAGCGUGAGUUUUACGAAUCGCCUUCAGUGUGAUAAUUGUCUACGCUGUGGCUGUGACGUAUAAAUAUAUUCAUGCUUAUAAUCGUCUCUUGAAGACAAUUUUAUGACUU
rnacentral:misc_RNA from 1 species